rnacentral:lncRNA from 1 species
GACAACCAGAAGCCCAGCGUUUUCUUGAGGCAAACUCUCUCUACCCCGUAUCACGGACACAAAAAUACAAACUCGAGAUCUAACAAGAAGUUCAAGAAGAACUAGCAAGAACUAGAUUAAUCAAAUAAAUACAAGAACAACACCAGAGAGGUGAGCUAGAGCUCCAAGAGAUGUGUUGUCGAGACUGAAGAACUCUUCAGCCUUGAUUGCAAUA